ensembl:lncRNA
GGGCACAUCCCCCAAGGCAGAGGGGUGGAGUCCACUCCUCCUGGGACUUAAAGCCAUGCCCCUCACCUUAACACUUCCUGCCCAAAAUCAAAUCCCACCUCUUUGGGCAGGGGCACUCCACAGUUCUGGGCUACUGCUCCUACAGGCAGCAGUAGAAGUAACAUUUACAAUACACAUGAAGGCUGUAUGUUUUCUUCCUGAACACUACCAUCUGCCCAAAAAUAUGGGAGACUGGUGAGAGUUGUAUUUGCUGAUCUAAUUCUUCUGUGGACAAGGCAACUUUGCGCUGACCUUCUCUCAAGAUAUGGGGUAGAGCAAGUGUAUUGGUAUAAAAAUAUUGCUAUAAAAACAUGCUAUAAAAAGUUGUUUGUAUGUGUGCUGUUGUGGUGUGUGGGGCUGUGCUAUGUGUAUAUUGAAAAUCACCCUUCUGAGGCUUAAUUUCCAUUUAAUCAAGUAGAUCUCUAUCAACACAGAAAACAUAGUUCUACAAAUAUUAUAUAGGCUGCAUUAAUGUAUCAUGAAGAGCACUUUAAUCUGGUCAGAACCCUUAGGUCUAGGAACUGGGUAGCUGUAGCAGGCAGCCUAGCUUUUAAUUCCUUUUGAAAGUUGCAGUUGUAUCUCCUUUUACUUAGUUGUGUUUAUAUGACUGAAGAAGGAGCAGCUGGCAAAGGGAGGGAAUGGCUUGGGGCAGCUGGAGGGAAUUAUGUUGUCCAUGUUACCUGGAUGCUUGUCAAUUUUUUUGGAUAACUUGAGGAGCAUGGCUUUCAUGGUAACUCAAACACAUUUAUUCAAAUUGUGGUUUUGAAUGGAUCAAGUGUAAAAAUCCAGCCAGAAGUAAUAUCUGCAGUUCAGGUAAAAACAAAUAGACCCUCAAUGUAUAUGAAAAUACAGAAAACCAAUGCUGUCAGCUCCUUUGGGAGGAAGGAUAUGUAAUUAAUUUACUAUGUGGAACAACAGUAUGUUAAAAGCCAAAUACUGACAUGAGUAGGCUGGCAUUCAGGACACUGGCUAAGAAGCUGUUCAAGCAUCACAGUUCAGUUUUUACUCCAGGCUGGAGGCAAAGGGGCAGAUCUUGAUUCUAAGAACAAGGCCAGCUCUGAAUCUGAAGUUGUACUGAUUUGCACCAUCAAAGGAUCUGCUUUCUAACUCUGUCUGUUGUAGCAUCCAUGCAAGAUUUUCACAUCCUAGAUAAAUCAUGUCUGUGAAUUCCUUUAGUAAAAUGGAAUAUAUUUAGAACUAAAAUUGUAGAAUAGGGAGGGCAGAAGAAUAGAAAAAAUCAAGGUUGAGUUAGAGAACACAAAGUAGUGGUAUAAUGUGUGAAUUGGAAAGGAAGUUUUUUUUCAAAAUUUAACUGCUGUUGUGGUUUAGCCCCAGUUAAAUGUAGCUGGUCACUUAUUCCUCCACCAGUGGGAUGGGUGAGAGAAUUGGAAGAAAAUGAGAAAACUUCUGGGUUGAGACAAAGUUUAAUAGGUAAAGGAAAAGCCAUGCACACAAGCAAAGCAAAACAAGGAAUUAAUUUACCACUUCUAGUUAUGGGGAGGUAAGUGUGCAGCUAUUCUCAGGAAAGCAGGGCUCCAUCACACAUAAUGGUUAGUUGAACUGGAAGACAAAUGUCAUAAUGCCAGAUGUUCCCUGCUUCCUCCUUCUUCCCCACCACUUUAUAUACUAAGCAUGAUGCCAUAUGGUAUGGACUGCCCCUUUGGUCAGUUGGGGUCAGCUCUCCUGGCUGUGUAUUUUGCCAACUUCCCAGGCAUCCCCAGUCCCUUUGCCAGUAUGGCAGCAUGUGAAAUAGAAAAGGCUGUGUCAGCACUCGUCAGCAGUGAUUAAAACAUCUGUGUAUUUUAUAACAGUAUAAUCUGUGUAUUACCAGCACAAAUUUGAAACACAGCCCAGUACUAGCUACUGUGAAGAGAAUUAACUCUGCACCAGUCAAAACCAGCAUGACUAGCUGCAGCCCAAAACAUCAGGGAGAAUGAUACUGACUGGGGAAUCAAAUGGGAUGCAAUGACUAACUGGUCACUGCUGUUCCACUGUGUGGUGACUUUUCAAGAGGACUAGCCAGAAGGAAUGAAGGCAAAACCACAAACAAAGUAAGCAUGGUGCAAGUACCAUGAGGAUCAGAAAUCUCUCUGGCAAGAUAGAAAGGGAAUCUUUCAGUAUCGCUUUAAUUAUGGUAUAGUCCACGAAUAAUGUUGGAAGCAGAAGUCUGUCUUUACCACAUGCAUAUGACAAAACUGUAGUGUUAAUUCUUUUGCAUCCUAUUUUUAACACUGUUACCUCAAGUUUUAUUUUUCUGAGUAAUGGUGUAAGUUUUAUUUGUUCUGAUUUUGGUUGACUUGCUUUCAACAGCUGCUUGCUGUAAUACAGAGAAUCACAUUACACUGGAGAAUCAUACUUAAGUAGUAUAACUGAACAAGACCAGAGAAAUAAAAUGAAAUGAAUAAAGACA